rnacentral:rRNA from 1 species
GAUGAACGCUGGCGGCGUGCCUAAUACAUGCAAGUCGAGCGAACAGAUGAGGAGCUUGCUCCUCUGACGUUAGCGGCGGACGGGUGAGUAAAACGUGGAUAACCUACCUAUAAGACUGGGAUAACUUCGGGAAACCGGAGCUAAUACCGGAUAAUAUAUUGAACCACAUGGUUCAAUAGUGAAAGACGGUUUUGCUGUCACUUAUAGAUAGAUCCGCGCCGCAUUAGCUAGUUGGUGAGGUAACGGCUUACCAAGGCAACGAUGCGUAGCCGACCUGAGAGGGUGAUCGGCCACACUGGAACUGAGACACGGUCCAGACGCCUACGGGAGGCAGCAGUAGGGAAUCUUCCGCAAUGGGCGAAAGCCUGACGGAGCAACGCCGCGUGAGUGAUGAAGGUCUUCGGAUCGUAAAACUCUGUUAUUAGGGAAGAACAAAUGUGUAAGUAACUAUGCACGUCUUGACAGUACCUAAUCAGAAAGCCACGGCUAACUACGUG